CAGUCGCCGCGGGAACACGUAGGGUGCGAGCGUUAAUCGGAAUUACUGGGCGUAAAGCGUGCGCAGGCGGUUGUGUAAGACAGGUGUGAAAUCCCCGGGCUUAACCUGGGAACUGCGCUUGUGACUGCACAGCUAGAGUAUGGCAGAGGGGGGUGGAAUUCCACGUGUAGCAGUGAAAUGCGUAGAGAUGUGGAGGAACACCGAUGGCGAAGGCAGCCCCCUGGGCCAAUACUGACGCUCAUGCACGAAAGCGUGGGGAGCAAACAGGAUUAGAUACCCCCGUAGUCCCUGUCUCUUAUAC
rnacentral:rRNA from 1 species